GCCAGCAGCCAUAUCACCCUGCAACUCACAACUGGCAGCCCACUGAAGUUAACCAGGUGUGAGCCUGGUCAGUACCUGGAUGGGAGACCUCCUUGGAAAAACUAAGGUUGCUGCUGGAA
ensembl:rRNA 5S_rRNA 5S ribosomal RNA